AACCAGAACUCCAGGUUCUCUUCGCUGAACUCCGUCUUCAAGAAAGUGUGGAAGGCAGCCACUCCAUCUGGAUUUGCAGGAAGAGAGGAAGAGACAGGGGCCCCAGGCCGGCCGGCAGGACUCACCCGUCUUUGCUGUGUUUACUGCCCCACUCGAAUUUGCCAACACUCGCGGGAUCGGAGCCCAGCUCUGACUUGUGAAGAAAGAUCCCCAGCCGGGUCUUGAACUCUUUGGCUCUGGAAGACAACGCAUGAGCAUGUGAGGAAUCUCCGGUUGCUUGGCCAGGGCAGAGAGAUUGAGGGGGUCCCAGGAGAGCUCAUGCUGGCGCCCCCCCAAAGCUUCCUGGGACACUUGGCUAUUCCCAGGGCAUAAACGUUGCUUCUCUCAUCAGUAUCAUGAACCCAGAAACAAUGAAAGCAGUCUUUGAGCUGUGCCUCCAUAGGUCUUAUACUUUCUGGGUCUACAAUACAGCUGUAUUCAUGGGCUUUUUGGCAUUAAGUCACACCAAUCUAUCUUUGUGCCAGCUGAUGAGCAGAAGGCAGUUCAGCACACUCUGGGCUUGUUACAAAUAUUUCUAGAACUGUG